ACCCCCAUCUAGUAACGCAGGGUGUAAUCUCGCUUCUAAACACAGAAUUACAGAGAACGAGGCGGGGGAGGAUGAGUUUCUGCUUCCCCAUGCAGAUCCUUUGGCCGUCACUUACGGUUCCUGGCAGAGCAGAGUGCAUUCCGGAUUCCGGAUUCCGUGCUUGGGCAUUGAGAGCAGAAGCCCCGGAGGAGAGAGGAGCGAGGCUUUUCCUGAGAGGCAGCCCGGACAAAGGUCUCAUUUUGCAUGUGUCUUUCCUCUGUGGGAAAUUCUCCUGCCCGUGAGCUGCCAGAAACGUACAAGGAGAGCGCGUGAAGCUGGCGCCCGCGACCUGGGUGAGCAGAAGCAGAGCCGAGAACCAGCGAGCGAGCGCCGGGAGAAGCCGCAGGCACCUGCUCGCCAGCUCGGCGACACUUGCCUCCCGUGAGUGUCUGCGAUGAAAAGAUCCACAGUCAGUGCUGGCAUCGCUCUUCGCCAGAGGUCCUGAGGGUCCCUCGUGUACGCUUGGGGCUGUGUAGUCUCGCGAGUCAUUUUUCUGAGUUCCUAGCGCCGUGUGGGAGGGUGCAGGCAGUACGGCCAGACUUUGCUUAGAGCAAAGAGCUUUGGAGUUUGGAGCAUCCAGCUCAAUCUCCCACCUGGUAAAUGCCCAAGACCGCAGGUGAAGCAAUGGCGAAGGCGGCAGGCUGUAAGACGAGGCCCCAGACAGGUGCCUCCUCCUGCUGACACUGGGUCAGCCUGCUUGCCUGAUCCUGCCAGAGCUCCCAACAGCACAGAAUCUUCUGGACUCCACCAUAGGGGGGUGGGCGCCAAGGCUCCUCCCCAGCCCCAGGACUGGCCUGGGGGUCUGCUGUCAGCUCCCAGGGCUGCUUUCGCCACACCCCUCUGAAGCCUUCCUGUGUGCACUGGGGGUGGCGGGCUCCCCUCUGCCCCGAGUGGACGGCAGCCAGUCGUUUGGCAAAAGUCAGCUCAGUGGCUGCCAUUGUUCUCAAGGAGGCAGAGCUGAAUGGGCUGCGGGCUAAUGUAUUCCGUCCUGGCUCUGGCGUGGUAGGGGAGGGCCGCAUUCCACUCCUCCCCCAGCCCCCUCCAGCCCAGCACUCUGCUCUCCAGCCCUGGCCCAGCCCCUAGGGGCGCAGC
rnacentral:lncRNA from 1 species